GACGAACGCUGGCGGCGUGCUUAACACAUGCAAGUCGAACGGAAAGGCCCUGCUUUUGUGGGGUGCUCGAGUGGCGAACGGGUGAGUAACACGUGAGUAACCUGCCCUUGACUUUGGGAUAACUUCAGGAAACUGGGGCUAAUACCGGAUAGGAGCUCCUGCUGCAUGGUGGGGGUUGGAAAGUUUCGGCGGUUGGGGAUGGACUCGCGGCUUAUCAGCUUGUUGGUGGGGUAGUGGCUUACCAAGGCUUUGACGGGUAGCCGGCCUGAGAGGGUGACCGGCCACAUUGGGACUGAGAUACGGCCCAGACUCCUACGGGAGGCAGCAGUGGGGAAUAUUGCACAAUGGGCGGAAGCCUGAUGCAGCAACGCCGCGUGCGGGAUGACGGCCUUCGGGUUGUAAACCGCUUUCGCCUGUGACGAAGCGUGAGUGACGGUAAUGGGUAAAGAAGCACCGGCUAACUACGUGCCAGCAGCCGCGGUGAUACGUAGGGUGCGAGCGUUGUCCGGAUUUAUUGGGCGUAAAGGGCUCGUAGGUGGUUGAUCGCGUCGGAAGUGUAAUCUUGGGGCUUAACCCUGAGCGUGCCUUCGAUACGGGUUGACUUGAGGAAGGUAGGGGAGAAUGGAAUUCCUGGUGGAGCGGUGGAGUGCGCAGAUAUCAGGAGGAACACCAGUGGCGAAGGCGGUUCUCUGGGCCUUUCCUGACGCUGAGGAGCGAAAGCGUGGGGAGCGAACAGGCUUAGAUACCCUGGUAGUCCACGCUGUAAACGGUGGGUACUAGGUGUGGGGUCCAUUCCACGGGUUCCGUGCCGUAGGUAACGCUUUAAGUACCCCGCCUGGGGAGUACGGCCGCAAGGCUAAAACUCAAAGGAAUUGACGGGGCCCCGCACAAGCGGCGGAGCAUGCGGAUUAAUUCGAUGCAACGCGUAGAACCUUACCUGGGUUUGACAUGGAUCGGGAGUGCUCAGAGAUGGGUGUGCCUCUUUUGGGGUCGGUUCACAGGUGGUGCAUGCCUGUCGUCAGCUCGUGUCGUGAGAUGUUGGGUUAAGUCCCGCAACGAGCGCAACCCUUGUUCACUGUUGCCAGCACGUUAUGGUGGGGACUCAGUGGAGACCGCCGGGGUCAACUCGGAGGAAGGUGGGGAUGACGUCAAGUCCUCAUGCCCCUUAUGUCCAGGGCUUCACGCAUGCUACAAUGGCUGGUACAGAGAGUGGCGAGCCUGUGAGGGUGAGCGAAUCUCGGAAAGCCGGUCUCAGUUCGGAUUGGGGUCUGCAACUCGACCUCAUGAAGUCGGAGUCGCUAGUAAUCGCAGAUCAGCAACGCUGCGGUGAAUACGUUCCCGGGGCU
rnacentral:rRNA from 1 species